UACAUGCACACAGUGACAACUCCGUACAUAUACCGUACAUAUACGUAGCAUUCUGCGCAGUACAUGUUAUCUGAUUGUGUGCAUGUGAGUCGCGUUUACGUUGUGGCAAGACUUCAGUCCUUCAGUUGUUCAGUGCAAGUGCUCCGCGAUACAUCCCUGUAGGAGCGAUGCCUAGAUCACGAAGCGAAGGAUGUAUGCCUGCCCGAAAGGCGAGAAUAGCAACGGCGUCAAUGUCGAUGCCGAGAGCGACAAUAUCGCCAGGAAGGAGCACGGCAACGUCAACGUCGGUGCCGAGGAUAGUUUAUAAGGCCAAAUAUACAACAGCGCAUAAAGGAUGCAGUGCUGCAGGCAGUCUACCGCGAGAGAAGGUAGCAGCGGAAUAACCCGGCAUUUGCCGGAUACGAAUUCGCAGCAUCUGGAUACGCACCUAUAUUUGUACCCGCAUCAGUCGGAUACUUGCCCGCUCCAGCCGGAUACGCGCUCGCCCCAGCCGGAUAUGCGUCCGUACCGGCCGGAUACGUGGCCGCACUAGCCGGAUACGCGUCUGCAUCAGCCGGAUACGCGCCUGCAUCAAUUGGAUACGCGCCCGCACCAGCCAGAUACGUGUCCGCAUCAGCCGGAUACGGAUCCGCAUCAGCCGGCUACCGUUUUUAGUUUUAUAGUUAUAAAUUAUAUUAUAUUAGAUUGUUCGGAAGGUAAUUUUGUUUUUUUUCUUUCUACAAAAUAUAUAGUUUUUUCUUCAAAAAACGAAAUUACUUUCCGAACAACCUAAUAGAUAUAAUUGAUAAUAUAAUUAUAAAAUUAUAUAAAAAUAUAUAGAUUAUAGGAUUAUAUAGAUAGACUAUAAGAUUAUAAGUAUUAUUCUAAGAUUAUUAUUAGCGCGCACGCGCACGUACGCACGCACGCACGUACGCGCGCGCGCGCGCGCACACACACACACACACACACACACACAC